GCCCUCGACUGAGAUAGCUCAGUCAGUAGAGCAUGAGACACUUAAUCUCAGGGUUGCGGGUUUGAGCCUCAUGUUGGCAAUGAGGGUU